GGAUGGCCCUCUCUGUGCCUGCGGCUCUGCACUCAGCGCUUGAGUGUCCACUGCAAAGCCCCAUGGAGCAGGGCGCUGGAGUGGAGAACAGUGAGAUCCCUUCCCUGCGGAACCCUGUGUUUUGGUGCCAGGGGACAUUCGGUGGACCUAUAAAAGAGACAUGAGGCUCUAAUAGGAAAAAAUAUGAUGGAGGCAAUGCAAACUUCCCUUUGUGCCUGGAAGACGGCUGCCGGGCUCCCAGCUGUGGCCUCAUCUCCCCACUGGGCAUCAGCACUUGAUUUGGAACGGCCUCCCAGAGGCAUCUGUCUCUACACUUCCAGAAGUGCGCGCACGACCUCCUCCAAGCUGGCUGGUCCUGUAUUUCUGUUCUUCGAGAAGAAGCAAGAAGCAUCCCAUCACCUGGGUCACACACCCGGGGUCCUCUUGGAGCCCCCUUCCUCCCCGCCUUUAGUCGGGCUCCGUGAUUUCCUGGCUCUGGUUCUGACGGUCCCCAGCACCCAAGCCUCCUCUUCCAUCCCUUCCCUUUACUUCAGGACCUUGGCCUCCGUUACCUGGGCCUCUUCCCCAGCCUCCUCACUUCGGCCUCCAGUCUCCUCCCUUCCUAUCUUUCCUUGAGGACUGUGUUGUCCGGUACUGUAACCACCAGCCACUUGCGGCUUUAAGACAUGUAAAUUAAUCAAAAUUAAAUAAAAUGACAAAAUCAGU